rnacentral:lncRNA from 1 species
CGAAGAAGAAGGGCCGAACCUUAGGGAUGGGCUCUAUUAGAGACUGUUCUGCCGCCUCGGCUUCCGGAUUCCGCACGCAGGAGGAUCCGAGUCAGCUUCGCCAGGAGCUUGCUACGGCCAAUGCUGAGAUCACCACUCUCAGGCAUGAGCAAGUGGCCCAGAAGCAGGAGCUCACCGAGAUACAUGAUCUCUUCGACAUCGUUGCGGAAGCGGUUCCGCAGUUGGCCACCGCAAUCCGAGCGAGGCAACAGCAAGCACGAAGAGUUUUUGAGACCGGUGGUACUUCCGGUACUGGACCAUCGGACCAGCAGACGCAGGACGGUCAGUCUUCGGCUCCGGUAGUGCAGACGGGAAACGACAGCCCAGCAGCGACGGGCGGCCAAGACGGAGAGCCUCCUCGUGACGUCGAUCUGAACCUCUACGAUUACGAAAUCACAUUGUAGAUUAGGUUUUUUUGUAAAAAACAAUUUGUAUUAAAUUUUUUUUUUAUUUAUAAAUUAUUUUUGAAUUUAAAUUUCAAUUUAAAUUGUUUUUUUCUAUUUUUAACUUUUUUAUUAUUUUCAAAAUUCAUUAAUUAAAUUAAAAUCGAAUUAAAUAAUUCAUUUAUAAAUCGACGUAAAUUCGUUGUAAAUUUACGUCGAUCUAACGUCGAAUAUUUAACGACGAAUUUACGUCGAAUAAGUUUACGUCGGAUUUACGACGAAAAUUUACGACAAUUUAACAUCGACAAUUAAAAAAUUAGUUUCCCUUAAUUGAAAUUGUUCGUCUCCUAAUCGUUGUUAAAUCGAUGUAAUUUUAGAUCGAUUUUACGUCGUUCUUAUGAUGGAGUUCUUUCGUUGUACUUCCGUUGGAAAUUUUACGUCGCAUUUACGACGAAUAGUUUCCGACGAUUUUACGACGAUUUUCCGGAGUUGGUAAUUUUACGACGAUUUUACGACGAUUUCGGUUUUACGACGAUCGUUUUACGACGAUUUUUUUCGUCGUUAAUUCGACGUAAAUGCUCUUUUACGUCGAUUUUACGUCGAUAUAUGCCGACGUAAAACCCGAUCUUUCUUGUAGUGCAUGUUUAUUCAAUAUCACAAAUUUUUUGAAGUAACUGAAUGUUGCAUCAGUUUUAAAAUCACAAAGUAUGUCAAAUCCAAAAAAAAAAAGAAAAAAAAAACAGAAGAAUGAGGUUAGUGUUAUUAACAAGAGAACUUAAAAAUGACUCUACAAUCUUUUAGACUUUUUGAAGAUUUGUUUUUAUGGAGUUGAUCAUUUUCUGUAAUAAAACACAAAAAACCAUAUUAGCAAACGAAAUUACAAACUACAUUAUUGCAAAAAUGUAAGUAACAAAUUUUCUAUAUAGGAGACUUCGUCUGCAGACUUCAUCUGUAGACUGGAGAUGAAGUCUAUUCUUCCAAGCUAACUAGCUAUUAAAUCAACAAAUUCGAUUCUAUAAUAAAUAUCGACUUAAAACAAAUGAAACUCAUUGAGUAAUUAGACCAGUUGGUAACACACAUUCUAAAACCUAAAAAUACAAAAAAUAAUUUACAUAUAUUCUGUAAUUUUGUUUUUAAAAUAAUGAUACCGAGCAGACUUCGUGUGCAGACUUCAUCCGUAGACUGCUGGAGAAGUCUACUUUAAUAAGCUAACUAGCUUAAAAAUCAAAACUUCUGAUUCAACAAUAAAUAUCGAAUGAAAUGAAAUGAAAUUCACUGGGUAGUUCAAUCACUUCAUAAAAAGUAUUUCUAAUCCAAAAAAUAAAAAAAAUACUUUAUAAAUUUUCCUAAAACGCGUUUUUCAAAAAAACUACAAUAAGUAGACUUCAAACGUAGACUGGCGAAGAAGUCUACUUUUUCAUAGUGAAGUCUACUAAAGAAAUCUACUAAAAAACAGGUUAUUUUUGCAAUUGAUCAUUUCGUUGACUUUUCCUUCAGUAGACUUCAGAAGUAGACUUCCGGCCAAAAAUGUUACUUUAGCAUUUGACCGAUGCAUUGACUAACAAAGUAGACUUCUAUUGUAGACUUCAUGUACGAGUAGACUUCUCUGACAGUCUACUUUUGAAGUCUACUUUUUUAAUAGAAGUCUACGGAAAAAUAGGUUAUUUUUGCAAUUGAAUUUUUUGAGUAGACUUCACUGUGAAGUCUACUUAAAAAAAGAUUCCUUCUAAGUUUGACCGAAAAAUAUAAGUAGACUUCCCAAAGAAGUCUACAGUUUUUAGACUUCUUUCUGAAGUCUACUGCAGCUUUCCGGAGUUUUAUGAAUUUUUUAAUUUUUAAAAAACUUUAGUCAAACACUAAAAUGACCUAUACGUUUUUGGUCAAACUACAAAAGUAACUCAAAAGUAGACUUCUUGUGCAGACGUAAACAGUAGACUUUAGAAAGAAGUCUACAUUAAAAAGUCAAAAUACGGUCAACUACAAAAAUAACCUCUUUUCUUUCGUAGACUUCUUAAGCCUUCCAAUGAAGUCUACUAUGUUUUUUUUGUUUUCAAAGGAUAUCGAGUAGACUUCUCGUGAGGUUUAAUCACUACAAGAAUGAGGGGCUUUUCUGUCGAAUUAUUUACGACGAUUUGUAGUCGUCGUAAAUUUACGACGACAUUACGUCGUAUUUACGACGAUCAAAAAUUUCGUCGUAAAUUCGACGUAAAAAAUAACCCUCGUAAAAUCGUCGUAAUGUGACGACGAUUUACGACGAAUGAAGAACGAAUUUUAUUUCGUCGUAAUAUUGUCGUAAUAUUUACAUCGAUAAUACGACUAAUUGUCCUCUAUCUUGUAAUUGACGUAAAAUCGAUGUAAAUGUGAUGUAAAUUUUAUUUCGACGUAAAUUUGAUGCAAAUAUGCAAUGGUAAUAUGUUGGUAACCAAACAAAAAAUUCUAUAUAUACCCUUUCUUCUCUCAUUAUUCCAUCAACCCAAAAAAACAUAUAAAGACACAAAUUUUUUGAGUCUUUGAAUGUUUAAGUAAAAUUUUUAGUAGUUGAAAUUUAUAUCAAAUUUCAAAAACAAAAAGUCAAAUAUUUGUUUUUGAAAUGUCUAUAUACGAUCUACGAAAGUGGAUGUAUACGCCCAAAAAUGGUGAUGGGUCGUUGACUGAAGACUUCAAAAACGGAUUGGAAAUAUUCAUGUACCAAGCUGGCCUUAUGCAAACUGUAAUUGAAAGCGGCAAAAUGUAUUGUCCUUGUGUGAAAUGCAAAAAUAAGAAACAUAUUCCUAUUGACACUGUCUGGCAGCAUUUAUUGAAUAGAGGGUUCAUGCCCCAAUACUUUAUUUGAUAUCAGCAUGGAGAGGGAUAUGGUCAAAGUAGUGGUCAGAUGGCUGCACGGAGUAGUAGUAAUCAUCAAGAACAUGUGGAUUUUGAAGCGUCAAAUGAUUAUCAAAGUAGUCAAGUUCAGGGUGAAGAUCAUGAUAGGAUGCAUGAAAUGGUUACUGAUGCAUUUCAUGAAACACAUGUUGAUACUGUUGAGGAGCCCAAUGCAGAUGCGAAACGCUUUUAUGAUAUGUUAAACGCAGCAAAACAGCCUCUGUACGAGGGAUGUAGGGAAUGUUUAUCAGAAUUAUCAUUGGCAGCUCGGAUGAUGACAAUAAAAACUGAUCACAAUCUAUCUGAAGUUUGCAUGAACGAUUGGGCAGAUAUUAUUAAAGAGUAUUUGCCAGAUGAUAAUUUGGCUGCUGAAACGUAUUAUGAAAUUCAGAAGCUGGUUUUUAGUCUUGGAUUGCCUUCUGAGAUGAUUGAUGUUUGUGUUGAUAAUUGUAUGCUUUUUUGGAGAGAUGAUGAGAAGCUUGAAGAAUGUCGUUUCUGCCAAAAGCCAAGAUAUAGACCGCAAAUUGCUGGGCGUAAGAAGAUUCCUUACCAACGAAUGUGGUAUCUUCCUAUCACUGAUAGGUUAAAAAGACUAUAUCAAUCUGAACGGACAGCUGCGUCGAUGAGAUGGCAUGCAGAACAUUCACAAACAGAUGGCAAAAUGACUCACCCGUCUGACGGGAAAUCUUGGAAACAUUUUAACACCGUACAUCCAGACUUUGCUAGGUCUAAGCGAAAUGUUUAUCUUGGUCUUUCCACUGACAGGUUUAGUCCAUUUGGUAUGUCUGGUAGGCAAUAUUCAUUAUGGCCUGUGAUUCUUACGCCAUAUAACCUUCCUCCAGAUAUGUGCAUGCAAAGAGAGUUUUUGUUUCUAAGUAUAUUAGUCCCUGGUCCAAAUCACCCAAAGCGGGCCCUUGAUGUGUUUUUGCAACCACUCAUACAUGAGUUAAACCAGUUGUGGCAUGUUGGAGUACGAACAUAUGACUGUUCGAGUGGUAAAAAUUUUACGAUGCGAGCGGUGCUUAUGUGGACAAUAAGCGAUUUCCCGACAUACGGAAUGCUAUCAGGUUGGACAACGCAUGGGAGGUUAUCAUGUCCUUAUUGUCUUAAUAGGACUGAUGCAUUUCAGCUUAAACAUGGUAGGAAAACCUGUUGGUUUGAUUGCCACCGUCGGUUUUUACCACCAAACCAUCAAUAUAGAAGAAAUAGGCGUUAGUUUAUAAAGAACAAAUUGGUUCGUCUCCCUCCACCAGUGUACCUAACUGGAGUAGAGCUUGAAGCGCAAAUAGAUCAUUGGGUUGGAUUUGAAACGGUCCCCCUUGGAGGAAAUUGGCAUACUCCUGCGAAUAUGCCUGAAGGAUAUGGGGUUCAUCAUAAUUGGCACAAGAAAAGUAUAUUUUGGGAUCUGCCUUACUGGAAAGAUCAUUUGCUUAGACAUAAUCUUGAUGUUAUGCACAUUGAGAAGAAUUUUUUCGAUAACAUCAUACAUACUGUUUUGAACGUCCAAGGAAAAACCAAAGACAGCGUUAAAUCACGGAUGGACUUACCCGAUAUAUGUAACAGAAUUGAGUUGCAUAUGGUGAGUAAUGGGAAAGCACCUGUUCCUGUAUUUCGGUUGGGUGCUGAACAAAAAACAGCAUUGUUUAAUUGGGUAUCAUCAGCCGUGAAAUUUCCUGAUGGAUAUGUAUCUAAUCUGGCUAAAUCUGUGGAUAAAGGACAAAAGUUUUCAGGGAUGAAAAGUCGUGAUUGUCAUGUGUUUAUGCAACAAUUACUUCCUUUUGCGUUUGCUGAACUCCUACCUGGACAUGUCCAUGAGGCACUAGGAGGCAUUGGAGCUUUCUUUCGUGAUCUAAGUACAAGGACAUUAUCAGAAGAUGUAGUUGCACAACUGUCUACAAAUAUUUCAAUACUGUUGUGCAAUUUAGAGAAAAUAUUACCACCUGCUUUCUUCGAUGUUAUGGAACAUUUACCUAUACACCUCCCUCAUGAAGCAGAGUUGGGAGGACCUGUUCAGUUUAGGUGGAUGUAUCCGUUUGAACGAUUUAUGAAGCAUUUAAAGGGUAAGGCCAAAAACUUAGCAAAAGUUGAAGGGUCUAUCGUGGCGGGAAGUUUGACAGAAGAAACUUCUCAUUUCACGUCUUAUUAUUUUGCUCCGAAGGUUCGUACACGCAAACGGGCUCCAAGACGUUACGAUGAUGGGGGUGUAGGACAAAGUUACGCAGUAGAAGGUGUGCCUGAUAUAUUCUCACCAAUUGGACGUCUAAGUGGGAAACUAAAAGAAACUUGUUGGUCAAACGAACAAGACUACCACAGCGCACAUACAUAUAUACUUCUGAAUUGCGAGGAAUUGGCACCUUACGAGAGGUACAUAUAUACAAAUAAGCAUGCAUGAUUAUAUUUUGAUUGCAUAGACGAAGUGUCCUUAACAAUGUUUUAAAAUUUCAGCACUUUCGUCAGUCAAGUCCGAGAAUGCAUUGACGGUGUUUCAGAAGAUGAAAUUAACAAGCGAAAAGACCAACAUUAUGCAUUGUGGUUAAAAGGUCAAGUCGAGCAUGAUGACAUGACAUAUGCAGUAUGGUUUCAUGAGUUGCUCAUUCAACUUCUUCCUCUCCCUGCUUCCUCCUUACUUCUUUGCUUCCCUGCAAACCCAAAAAAUCAGGUAAUUUUUUUUUACUUAAAAUCUAAUUUUUAUAUUUAGUUAGUUUAGAAAUAUAAACGGUUUAGGUCGGAAAUUAGUUUAGGCUCGGAAUUUGUUAGAUUUAGGAUCGGAAUUUGUUAGAUUAAGGAUUUAGGGUGUUUGUUAUAUUUAGGAUCAUAAUUUAAAAUUAAUUUGUAAUUUCAAAAAUAAAAAUUUUCCGGUUUUGCAGACGAUGACUCGACGGAGGACGCACUACAUCAACUUUAUGGCGGACGGACACUCUUCCCGGGCGUCUGCCUCGGGAAACACCGGGACCGAUGUCCCUUCAUCUUCCGGAGCCUCCCAGGUUCCGAAUACCAUAGCGGAGCAGUCUCCACCACUGCCUCCACCACCACCUCCACCACCACCUCCAUCGCCGGCUGCCGAACCGGUAGUCCACCCUCCUCAUCCGUAUGCCCAAUUUACGGUUGAGGACUUACUAGCCCUACCGGGACGGGGGGCUUUACGACGUCUGGUUCCCGGAAAAGCGGAACCAGGCUCUUAUUGGUAAGUAAAAUUUUUUGUUUUUUAUGUUUUUUUAAAUUAAUGCUUUAAUUUACUUAAAUAUUAAUGUAAUGUUUUUUUUUUGGUUUCAUAGGUUUAACUUGGAUAAUUGUGUCGGUCGGAGCGUUUCCGACACAAUUAAGAGUCAUUUCGUUGAGCCGCACUACAACUGGAGCAAGGUGUGGCAAGAGACGUUCGACACCUGGUACAAGUGCUUCGCGGUAAUGUUUUUUAAAUCUUAUUUAUAUCAUUUCAAAUUAUUUUAAAUUUAAUUAAUCUUAAUUUUAUAUUGUUUAUAUAAUUUUUUGUUUUCUUUUGCAGCAACGGUGGAACUGGGACAUCGGGAUCAACGAGACGGUCCGCAAAGCUUUCCGGCUGAAGGCGCAGAAACGCCUAGUCAACACCAUUUCCGAUUGGAAGCGGAAGUGGGAGACCGAUGGAGACGACGCAAAGCCGAGCUCCAUGUCCACUUUCUGUUGGAACGGGUUGAAGGCGUAUUGGCUGGACCCGCAUGCCCAAACCACUGCGGCUAAGUGUUCGGCCGUCCGAAACCGGGUCGGUCCUGACGGUCAGAAGUUAGUGACCCCGCACACUUCUGGCCAAAUAUCUUUUGCGGGAAGACGUCUCAUGAUGGUAAGUAAUUAAAUAUAAAUUAUUUCAUUAUUAUUUCAUUUUUAAUUAUUGCUAUAAUUUAUUAAAUAUUUUUGACUAAUGUUUAUUAAUUGGUAGGCCGAGGAGAACGGAGAAGAACUUCCUCCAAUGACGAACCUCUUCGAGACCACUCACCGGAAGAGGGACGGGAGCUUUGUCGACGCUCGGUCAGAGGAGAUCUACAAUGCUGCUAUUCAGCGGAUCGCCGAGCGAGAGAUCCAGGCCACACCUGACGGUACUAUCCAAGUAUCGUUGACCGUCGCUGAGCAAGACCAGAUUUUCGAGGAGGUAUUAUCUAUUUCAAAUUUUUUAAAAUUUAUUAUAUUUAUUAAUUAACGUUUUUAUUUCUAUUUGUAGGUUGCUCCGAAGAAGAAGGGCCGAACCUUAGGGAUGGGCUCUAUUAGAGACUGUCCUGCCGCCUCGGCUUCCGGAUUUCGCACGCAGGAGGAUCCGAGUCAUCUUCGCCAGGAGCUUGCUACGGCCAAUGCUGAGAUCACCACUCUCAGGCAUGAGCAAGUGGCCCAGAAGCAGGAGCUCACCGAGAUGCACGGUCUCUUCGACAUCAUUGCGGAAGCGGUUCCGCAGUUGGCC